rnacentral:rRNA from 1 species
AUUGAACGCUGGCGGCAUGCCUUACACAUGCAAGUCGAACGGCAGCACGGACUUCGGUCUGGUGGCGAGUGGCGAACGGGUGAGUAAUGUAUCGGAACGUACCUUUCAGUGGGGGAUAACGUAGCGAAAGUUACGCUAAUACCGCAUAUUCUGUGAGCAGGAAAGCAGGGGAUCGCAAGACCUUGCGCUGAUUGAGCGGCCGAUAUCAGAUUAGCUAGUUGGUGGGGUAAAGGCCUACCAAGGCGACGAUCUGUAGCGGGUCUGAGAGGAUGAUCCGCCACACUGGAACUGAGACACGGUCCAGACUCCUACGGGAGGCAGCAGUGGGGAAUUUUGGACAAUGGGGGCAACCCUGAUCCAGCCAUGCCGCGUGAGUGAAGAAGGCCUUCGGGUUGUAAAGCUCUUUCGGCCGGGAAGAAAUCGCACAGGCUAAUACCCUGUGUGGAUGACGGUACCGGAAUAAGAAGCACCGGCUAACUACGUGCCAGCACG